GCCGGCAGCUAGCUUUCUGCAACUCUCACAUGGUCGCCCACUGAAGCUAAGCAGGGCUGCGCCCGGUCAGUACCUGGAUGGGAGACCACAUGGGAAAGCUAGGUUGAUGCCGGAA
rnacentral:rRNA from 1 species